ACAACAUUUUGCUUUAUUUGCACUCAUUUAACCUUAGGAGAGAAGGAUUGGAGGGUGAUGAGCUAAGAAGGAAUUCUGAUGUCAUGGAGAUCCUAAAGAAGACAAGUUUCCAAAGGUUAUUGGCUCUAGCGCGUUGAAAACCCCAUAAACAACCCUGGAGCAUGAGUAAGAGUUUUGCUGAUCAACUAUUGAUUAAAGACUGAUUACAACUUAAGCAUAUGUAAAAAAAUGCAUGAUCAGUUGAAGCUCUCAAAACCACUCUGGAAGGCUCCCUCCUAAUACCAAAGACGAACGAUGCAAGGACAAUGUUGCACCUAUAUAUGUAAUGGUACCCAUGAUCACAGGAAUAUAGCAUUUCCUGCGUAUAAAGCUUUUGAGGCUGUCGCGGUUGCUUUCCAUAAUGGUUAUUUUUCCAUUUCCUGCCUAUUGAUAACAUCCUUGUGUAUUUCAAUCAAUUAUCGUCUUACAAUGUAAAUAUGACAUUUGAAUAUAAUAUGAGGGUAAUAUGAAUAUG